UACGUAGGGUGCAAGCGUUGUCCGGAAUUAUUGGGCGUAAAGAGCUCGUAGGCGGUUUGUCGCGUCGAAUGUGAAAACCCGGGGCUCAACCCCGGGCCUGCAUUCGAUACGGGCAGACUAGAGUUCGGUAGGGGAGUCUGGAAUUCCUGGUGUAGCGGUGAAAUGCGCAGAUAUCAGGAGGAACACCGGUGGCGAAGGCAGCACUCUGGGACGGUACUGACGCUGAGACGCGAAAGCGUGGGGAGCAAACAGG
rnacentral:rRNA from 1 species